UGGGGAAUAUUGCACAAUGGGCGCAAGCCUGAUGCAGCCAUGCCGCGUGUAUGAAGAAGGCCUUCGGGUUGUAAAGUACUUUCAGUCGGGAGGAAGGUGGUAAGGUUAAUAACCUUAUCAAUUGACGUUACCGACAGAAGAAGCACCGGCUAACUCCGUGCCAGCAGCCGCGGUAAUACGGAGGGUGCAAGCGUUAAUCGGAAUUACUGGGCGUAAAGCGCACGCAGGCGGUUCAUUGAGUCAGAUGUGAAAUCCCCGGGCUUAACCCGGGAAUUGCAUCUGAUACUGGUCAGCUAGAGUCUUGUAGAGGGGGGUAGAAUUCCAUGUGUAGCGGUGAAAUGCGUAGAGAUGUGGAGGAAUACCGGUGGCGAAGGCGGCCCCCUGGACAAAGACUGACGCUCAGGUGCGAAAGCGUGGGGAGCAAACAGG
rnacentral:rRNA from 1 species